UUGCCAACUCAUCUGUGCAAGGCCAGAUUGAGUGCUUAACCCAUUUCAUUAUGGUUUUAGAUUUAUGUUUGUUUUGAUUAGGAGUUCCUUGCCACAUCCUUGGGUAACUAAUGAGAGUUUUCACCAAAUUAGAAAAUGAGAAUGGUUAAAUAACUUUGCCCUUUAGAAAGCACACAGGUGGUAGGGUCCUGGAGUCCCCAGUCCUCAGCUUGGCCCCUUUGCCUACAGAGUCUUUACAGCCGCUCCUCAAUCUUGAACAGCCCUCUGCUCACACGAUCCUUCCAGGCACCCAGCCUCCUACAACUCUAUCUCGCCAAGCACACUCAGGUGGACAUUCAAGAACUGGAUUACAAAAUGGAUUAUCUACAUUUUUUGCAUGAAGUCAGUGUCCAUUCACUCAUUCAACAUGUGAACGCAACAUGUGAACUCAUCAAAUUUGAACCCAGCACCAACCUUAGAACUUUAACCAAAACAGAAUGAAAUGUGCUUUCUUUACGAUUAAAGUUUUGUGGGAGGAUAAAGAAAGUAAACAGGCAAGUAUAAAGUAAUCCUUGCAAGGACAAGAAUAGUGCAGGCAUGAGGUAUACAUAGGAAGCACAUCUAUUCCAGGUGGUGGGAAACCAGGGAUGUGUGGUGGUGGUCAGGACCAUCUUCCUGGAGGACGCCUUAUCUGAGAAACAGAUGAAUAAGAGUUAACUUUGGGCUUUGUGCAAAGCAAGGAAUGUGUUCCAGACAGAGAAAAGAGCUCAUUCAGGGACCAGACGGCACAUCAGGAUGGUUCAAGUGUGGAGUACUGGGUGUUCUCUGUUGAGCAGGAGCUGGAGAGGCAAACUUGGUCAUGUUAGGAGUGUGAGUUGCACCCUCC